GUAGGGAAGUAUGUGAGCCAUGUGCCGGGAAAAGCCGCUAUUGUUCAUACCGCACCCGUACCGUAAACCGACACAGGUGGAUGAGGAGAGAAUCCUAAGGCCGACGGAAGAAGCAUUGUUAAGGAACUCGGCAAAAUAGCCCCGUAACUUCGGGAGAAGGGGUGCCUGGAAACAGGCCGCAGAGAAUUGGCCCAAGCAACUGUUUAGCAAAAACACAGGUCUAUGCGAAACCGAAAGGUGAGGUAUAUGGGCUGACGCCUGCCCGGUGCUGGAAGGUUAAGAGGAGAGCUUAGCGCAAGCGAAGGUUUGAAUUUAAGCCCCAGUAAACGGCGGCCGUAACCAUAACGGUCCUAAGGUAGCGAAAUUCCUUGUCGGGUAAGUUCCGACCCGCACGAAAGGCGUAAUGAUUUGGGCGCUGUCUCGACAAUGCAUCCGGUGAAAUUGAAGUACCAGUGAAGAUGCUGGUUACCUGCGCCAGGACGGAAAGACCCCAUGGAGCUUUACUCCAGCUUGACACUGGGAUUCGGUAAUGCAUGUACAGGAUAGGUGGGAGGCUAUGAAAUAGGGACGCCAGUUUCUAUGGAGCCGCUGUUGGGAUACCACCCUUGCGUUAUUGGGUUUCUAACCUGCCGCCGUUACCCGGCGGGGGGACAAUGUCUGGCGGGGAGUUUGACUGGGGCGGUCGCCUCCGAAAGUGUAUCGGAGGCGCCCAAAGGUUCCCUCAGAAUGGUUGAAACCAUUCGAAGAGUGCAAAGGCAGAAGGGAGCUUGACUGCGACACCGACGGGUGGAGCAGGUACGAAAGUAGGGCUUAGUGAUCCGGUGGUAUUAAGUGGGAAUGCCAUCGCUCAACGGAUAAAAGCUACCCUGGGAUAACAGGCUUAUCACUCCCAAGAGUUCACAUCGACGGAGUGGUUUGGCACCUCGAUGUCGGCUCAUCGCAUCCUGGGGCUGUAGUAGGUCCCAAGGGUUGGGCUGUUCGCCCAUUAAAGCGGUACGCGAGCUGGGUUCAGAACGUCGUGAGACAGUUCGGUCCCUAUCCGGCGCGGGCGUAGGAUAUUUGAGAGGAGCUGCCCUUAGUACGAGAGGACCGGGGUGGACUGACCUCUGGUGUACCGGUUGUCAUACCAAUGGCACGGCCGGGUAGCCAAGUCGGGCAGGGAUAAACGCUGAAGGCAUCUAAGCGUGAAGCCCCCCUCAAGAUGAGAUAUCCCAAGACCCCUUGAAGAACACGAGGUAGAUAGAGCAGAGGUGGAAGUGCAGUAAUGCAUGGAGCUGACUGCUACUAAUCGGUCGCAAGCUUACCAA
rnacentral:rRNA from 1 species